UGAAUUAAAUGUCUGCUGACAUCUGCCAGGCUUGUCUUUGAAUUUCCUUAAGUGCCAGAGCGAGGAUACGGUGCUGGGUAGUGCACUGCCGUGCGCUAUAUUUAGAAAGCAGUUGGAAGAGAAAAUGUCCUCAGGAAUCCGGACUGUUUUGUUGGAAAUGUCCCUCCGGUCCCGGCGGUGUGCACGUAAACGCUGGUUCUAGAGACGUG
rnacentral:lncRNA from 1 species